CUUCGCUAGUAAGAUUGAUUGGAAUUAAUGGUUUCUCACCAAGUUGAAAGGCUGGCUUUCACCCCAGGCUCUCUUCCCUCUGACUGCCUAAGUCUUUGGUACCAACGUAAACCAGGACUUCUGGCUGAUCCUCUUCCUCCAGGA